AUUGAACGCUGGCGGAAUGCUUUACACAUGCAAGUCGAGCGGCAGCGCGGGGGGCAACCCUGGCGGCGAGCGGCGAACGGGUGAGUAACAUAUCGGAACGUACCCAGUCGUGGGGGAUAACUAUCCGAAAGGAUAGCUAAUACCGCAUACGUCCUGAGGGAGAAAGCGGGGGAUCGCAAGACCUCGCGCGAUUGGAGCGGCCGAUAUCGGAUUAGCUAGUUGGUGGGGUAAAGGCUCACCAAGGCGACGAUCCGUAGCGGGUCUGAGAGGACGACCCGCCACACUGGAACUGAGACACGGUCCAGACUCCUACGGGAGGCAGCAGUGGGGAAUUUUGGACAAUGGGGGCAACCCUGAUCCAGCCAUUCCGCGUGAGUGAAGAAGGCC
rnacentral:rRNA from 1 species